GUAUUAUUAUUAUGUAUAAUUAUUAAUAUGUAAUAAUUAAAUAGCUUUCUAUUACUGAGUUUGUAGGCCAUUUCAUCAGUUACCCCUCACCCUUGUAGAGUUUAAUGUUUUAUUUUCACAGAUUAAAUUAAGGUAGAGUAGAAUAUAAAUUGCUUCCAGAAUAAGGCAAAAUUCUAAUUUAUUGUCUUUGGUAUUACAGUGCUGCCUAUGUUGAAUAAAUUUCUAUGGAAACUAUCAUUCAAACCAUUUUAAAAUAUUGAUGUUCAUUAUUUACCUUCACUGCAAGGAAAAAAUAGUGUUGAAUUGUAGUGAUAUAUUUUUAGAUAAAAGGAGUAACUGUAUGGGAAAAAUGGGUGUUUCCUCAUGGAGAAUCUUUCCUGGGUGUCUUGAAAAAGGUAAUGGCUUGUGGUUCCUCUCCAGGAGCUUAAAUGAAUUAUUAGAAGCAAUAGAGUCGAUCAACCAAUCACACAGUGCCCUGUGACAUCUUUUAUGUCUCCAUUUAUUUAUUAUAAAUGUUUCUUAAAGCUACCACUGCAUAACAUUAGUCAGGCUUUGUAAAGGGGAUAUGGGGAAGAAGAAUGUGGUAAAAUACAAUUCCUAGUGUACAAUCUAGGAGAGAAGUGUAAUACUUCAAAAAGUAUAGACUAGUACCCCAAGAGUAAUGAUAAUAAUAUGUAAUAUUUAUUUAUAUAAAGACAUUUACAAUGGAGACAUUAAUUAAUGUUUAUAUUUUGCCUGUACAUAAUGUUAUUUGCUAAAGUACUUCCAUUUUUAGAAUAUCUGUGGCCAGUAGUUCCCUUGAUCAGAGCUAAGAACAAUUCAUUUUCUCAGUCUUCAUUGUAGUUGGGGAAAGACCUCAUGGAAUAGAAGAUUCCUCAACAAAGCUUUGAAGAGACUAGGGAUUAAUUAUGAAGUGAGUGAGCCCUGGUGCUCCAGACAGAGAGGGAUGAGUGUGUGUGCAGGACCAGAGCGGUAGAAGGAGUGAUGUGCUCUGGGAAGGAGAGCGCACGGAAUGCCAGAGCACAGAGUCCCAGUAGCCUGUCCAGGCAGGAGGUUGGAGGGGUAAGGAGUGCACACUUGAUCCUGAGAGUUCGAGACGAGUCAGUGAAGGAUCUUAAGUAGAAGGGGGGUAAGAUCAGCUUUUCUCUUUUAUCAUUUAUCAUUCCAAUCUACACAUGUGGAUAAUGGAUUAGAAGAGGACAAAACAGGAGGCUAUCCCAAUAUAUGUCAUUGAAAUUAUAUGAGUUCAUAGCUUGAAAGAAAGAUAUAGGCUUAAGUUGAUUCAACACAGCUCAUGGAUGAGACACAGCCAUGGAGAGUGUGUACCGUGAUGGCAGGUGUAGGGCAGAGCCCUGAAGAAUAGCAACAUUUAAGGAUGUAGAAAACAGGCCCACAAUUAAGAACAGAAGGUUGACGUAGGACGGGACAGGGUGGGAUGAUGCAAACUUAAGAAGUGUGGAGUUUCCUGGAAAAAAAGCAGUUAGUAGAGUUCAAAUGGCUUCCAGGGAGUUAGUGACAUAAAAACUUGUUACCCUGACAUGAAACAGGUGGCACAUAAAAAAGGGGUGACAGAAAAGAGGUGGAUAAAGGAAGUGCAAAGCCAACAAAGAAUGAUGAAGUGCCCCAGGUACUGAGAAUAGAAUCAGCAUGACCGUGACCACCUCGGAGCUGAACCGGAAGCUCUGCAGCUGCUGUGGAAGAGGGCUGCUAGCCAGCCCGUGGUCCCGGGUAGGGGAGCAUUGCCGAGGGCAGAGGUCAGGCUAAAAGGACAGUUCUCAAGCGCCUCUUCCCUCUGUCGUCCUGUCUCUUGUGCCUCCCAUCAACCAAACUGAGCCAUAAAUCAGAAGGCAAAGGAUCAUUUAGUAUCUGCCAAGCAGAGAGAAGUGGAGAAGCCCAGAAAGUGAAUCUGGAGGGGAAAAGACAGUGUCCACUAUAGAAGCAGUGCGUCUAGGGGCGCCUGGGUGGCUCAUUCGGUUAAGCGGCCAACUUCGGCUCAGGUCAUGAUCUCGCGGUCCGUGAGUCCGAGCUCCGCGUCGGGCUCUGUGCUGACAGCUCAGAGCCUGGAGCCUGUUUCAGAUUCUGUGUCUCCCUCUCUCUGACCCUCCCCUGUUCAUGCUCUGUCUCUCCCUGUCUCAAAAAUAAAUAAAAAACGUUAAAAAAAUUUUUUUUUAAAAAGAAGCAGUGCGUCUACUAUAUUUCACAAUAAAAAAGUCACAGUGGUGACUCUGUCAGAGUAGUUUCAAUGAAGUGAUAGGCACAGGAAAGAGAUUACUAGAAGUUGAAAAGACGGAGAGCAAGAAAGUAAAGAUAAGAAGCGUAGUUUGUCUUCAAAAGGAAAAGAGUGAUGGAAAGAUAGCCAGAAAAGAUGUAGGGCCCAGUCAGGUCCCACAGACUGAUGAGUAACAGAACGUGGUCUAGAAAGACAGAGGAGGGCAAGCAUGUGGAGCAUCUUACGUACCUAGUUUGAGCUGGACAAGGAUUAGCAUGGGUUACACUAUGAGUGAGAUGUGGUUCUCCUCUCGGGAAAGGUUUGCAGUUACGUUAGAACACACACGUAACACUGUGUAAGGGGAGCUGUAACGGGAAUAUUAGCCAAGUGGCAACGUAUGAAUCGUGAAGUUGGAAAGAAGUCCUAAAGGAUGGGUGCACGUUGUCUCAUGAAGAAGCAGAGGCUGAGUGUAGGCCUGUUCAGGCCUGCAGUGUGGUAGGAGGAAAUAGGACUCGCUCAGAGAGACGGGACUGUAGGGUGUGUUGCUGGAAGGACAGGAGAUGGUCCAGAAAAUGGACUGAAAUUGAAUGUGAAAUGUUUUUAUUUCUGGCUAGGAAGUUUGAGGUUUGUUCUAUAACUAGUAGAGAACCCAUGCAGGUGAUCGAUCAGGGAGUGAUCUCAUCCUCUGUUGUUUUAGAAAGAUAACUGGUAUGAGUGUUGGAGAAUGAAAAGGAUGGAGAGACAUUGAAGGCAAAGGGCACAAGACGAAAUUAAUGGGAUGAUCCCAAGGAGAGGUCGUCACUGCCAAUGCUGGACUAGUACAAUUUUGUAUAGCGAGGAAAUGAUAGAUCUGUUAAAGAAUAUAAAUAUUUUGAGUGAUUAGAAGGAAAGGAUGAGAGAAGAAGAAAUGAAAAUGCCUUUUCAUGAAACAGAGAAGUGACAUAAAGAAAUAAGAGUUUAAGAAUGUUGAUCGACUAGACAUAUACAAAUUGGAGCACAGAGUGAUUAGCGGCAGGAAAAUCAGGAGGCACAGCCAUGAAUUUAA